AGAGUUUGAUCCUGGCUCAGAUUGAACGCUGGCGGCAUGCCUUACACAUGCAAGUCGAACGGCAGCACGGGAGCAAUCCUGGUGGCGAGUGGCGAACGGGUGAGUAAUAUAUCGGAACGUGCCCAGUCGUGGGGGAUAACGCAGCGAAAGCUGUGCUAAUACCGCAUACGAUCUCUGGAUGAAAGCGGGGGACUCGUAAGAGCCUCGCGCGAUUGGAGCGGCCGAUAUCAGAUUAGCUAGUUGGUGGGGUAAAGGCCCACCAAGGCGACGAUCUGUAGCUGGUCUGAGAGGACGACCAGCCACACUGGAACUGAGACACGGUCCAGACUCCUACGGGAGGCAGCAGUGGGGAAUUUUGGACAAUGGGCGCAAGCCUGAUCCAGCAAUGCCGCGUGCAGGAUGAAGGCCUUCGGGUUGUAAACUGCUUUUGUACGGAACGAAAAGGUUUGCCUUAAUACGGCGGGCCCAUGACGGUACCGUAAGAAUAAGCACCGGCUAACUACGUGCCAGCAGCCGCGGUAAUACGUAGGGUGCGAGCGUUAAUCGGAAUUACUGGGCGUAAAGCGUGCGCAGGCGGUUAUAUAAGACAGAUGUGAAAUCCCCGGGCUNCACCUGGGACCUGCAUUUGUGACUGUAUAGCUAGAGUAC
rnacentral:rRNA from 1 species